rnacentral:misc_RNA from 1 species
GAAGUGCGAUAAGUAAUGUGAAUUGCAGAAUUCAGUGAAUCAUCGAAUCUUUGAACGCACCUUGCGCUCCUUGGUAUUCCUUGGAGCAUGCCUGUUUGAGUAUCAUGAAAUCUUCAAAGUAAAUCUUUUGUUAACUCAAUUGGUUUCUACUUUGGUAUUGGAGGUCUUUGCAGCUUCACACCUGCUCCUCUUUGUUCAUUAGCUGGAUCUCAGUGUUAUGCUUGGUUCCACUCGGCGUGAUAAGUUAUCUAUCGCUGAGGACACUGUAAAAGGUGGCCAAGGUAAAUGCAGAUGAACCGCUUCUAAUAGUCCAUUGACUUGGACAAUACUUUUAUGAUCUGAUCUCAAAUCAGGUAGGACUACCCGCUGAACUUAAGC